rnacentral:sRNA from 1 species
GCGGAGGGAUCAUUACCGAGUUUACAACUCCCAAACCCCUGUGAACAUACCACUUGUUGCCUCGGCGGAUCAGCCCGCUCCCGGUAAAACGGGACGGCCCGCCAGAGGACCCCUAAACUCUGUUUCUAUAUGUAACUUCUGAGUAAAACCAUAAAUAAAUCAAAACUUUCAACAACGGAUCUCUUGGUUCUGGCAUCGAUGAAGAACGCAGCAAAAUGCGAUAAGUAAUGUGAAUUGCAGAAUUCAGUGAAUCAUCGAAUCUUUGAACGCACAUUGCGCCCGCCAGUAUUCUGGCGGGCAUGCCUGUUCGAGCGUCAUUUCAACCCUCAAGCACAGCUUGGUGUUGGGACUCGCGUUAAUUCGCGUUCCCCAAAUUGAUUGGCGGUCACGUCGAGCUUCCAUAGCGUAGUAGUAAAACCCUCGUUACUGGUAAUCGUCGCGGCCACGCCGUUAAACCCCAACUUCUGAAUGUUGACCUCGGAUCAGGUAGGAAUACCCGCUGAACUUAAGCAUAUCAA